UCCUCAUUAGAUCGGUUGGUUAGAGUCCCGAUGGAAUCGGGAUUAAUCCGUAGGUUCAAGGUUCAAGUCCUUGAUGGGACGCCA
rnacentral:tRNA from 1 species